UAUAUGCUAGAGGUAUAUACUAUGCUACAAUUUAUCUAUAUAUUUAUUUUGCUUCAUCAUAACGAAUAUCUGAGAAUAGUACCGUUUAAGUUAGCUGAAGCAGAAAGAUCGGUAUUUCGUGUACAUAUACGCACGCACACAUAUCGAAAGUAAUUUUUAUAUAGGACCACUAGAUGGUACUAAUGCAGAAAACAUAUUUCAAGGUCUCGAAAAAUUUAACGUAAUCUCUCGUAUCGCAUCAUUGUUGGUGCAUAUUUGUAAUGGGUCAUGAAAAAUUGGGAAUAAAUAAAUUAGUGUUUUAUAGCUUGGCAAAAAAGUGUAGAAAUGGAACUAAUCCUUUAUUUUACCUGGCAACAUUAUCACAUUUUUGACGUUUGUGAAGUUUUAUAAAUAGUGUCGGUGUUGUCUUUUUAUUAAAAUUUUGCAAUAAGAACAAGAAGAUACUAUUCGCGAUACAAAAUGAAUAAGCCGCGAAUAAUAAGGUUCGCGAGAGAAAUUAUAUAUAAAACUUUUACCGACCAUGUCUAGCUGAACAAGAAGCAAAAACAAUUCUAUCGGAUCUGGAAGCAUAUGUGAGUGCUUUCAAGACAUAACCGAAGAUGAUUGGAAAAUCUCAUGUCAACAUGUAAGAAAAAUUUAAAAUGACUAUUACAAGAGAGAACAUACCCUGUAAGAGGACAUUGAAAGAAUUAUAAUAAAUCUUAAAGAUGACAGUAGUAGUUCUUCAGAAUCAUAGGAUGACUGUCCAGCCAGCUCCAGUCAUGAAAAUAUGGACAUUGAUUUUACUGAAAUACAAUAUUUGGAAGAAA